GGAGGAAGUGGACUUUUGAUGGAUUAAUAUUGCAACGCUCUAUAACACGAUCGCGAGUGAAAUUACUUACAGCAAU
rnacentral:tRNA from 1 species